GUGAGUAACGCGUGAGAAUCUGGCUCCAGGUCGGGGAUAACAGUUGGAAACGACUGCUAAUACCGGAUGUGCCGAGAGGUGAAAGAUUUAUCGCCUGGAGAUGAGCUCGCGUCUGAUUAGCUAGUUGGCGGUGUAAGGGACCACCAAGGCGUCGAUCAGUAGCUGGUCUGAGAGGAUGAUCAGCCACACUGGGACUGAGACACGGCCCAGACUCCUACGGGAGGCAGCAGUGGGGAAUUUUCCGCAAUGGGCGAAAGCCUGACGGAGCAAUACCGCGUGAGGGAGGAAGGCUCUUGGGUCGUAAACCUCUUUUCUCAAGGAAGAAGAAAGUGACGGUACUUGAGGAAUAAGCAUCGGCUAACUCCGUGCCAGCAGCCGCGGUAAUACGGAGGAUGCAAGCGUUAUCCGGAAUGAUUGGGCGUAAAGGGUCUGCAGGUGGAACUGAAAGUCUGCUGUUAAAGAGUUUGGCUUAACCAAAUAAAAGCGGUGGAAACUACAGAACUAGAGUGCGGUAGGGGCAAAAGGAAUUCCUGGUGUAGCGGUGAAAUGCGUAGAUAUCAGGAAGAACACCGGUGGCGAAAGCGUUUUGCUAGACCGUAACUGACACUGAGGGACGAAAGCUAGGGGAGCGAAUGGGAUUAGAUACCCCAGUAGUCCUAGCCGUAAACGAUGGAUACUAGGCGUGGCUUGUAUCGACCCGCGCCGUGUCGGAGCUAACGCGUUAAGUAUUCCGCCUGGGGAGUACGCACGCAAGUGUGAAACUCAAAGGAAUUGACGGGGGCCCGCACAAGCGGUGGAGUAUGUGGUUUAAUUCGAUGCAACGCGAAGAACCUUACCAAGGCUUGACAUCCUGCGAAUCCCGUGGAAAGCUGGGAGUGCCUUCGGGAACGCAGUGACAGGUGGUGCAUGGCUGUCGUCAGCUCGUGUCGUGAGAUGUUGGGUUAAGUCCCGCAACGAGCGCAACCCUCGUUUUUAGUUGCCAGCAUUAAGUUGGGCACUCUAGAGAGACUGCCGGUGACAAACCGGAGGAAGGUGUGGAUGACGUCAAGUCAUCAUGCCCCUUACGUCUUGGGCUACACACGUACUACAAUGCUACGGACAGAGGGCAGCGAGCUCGGGAUGGCUAGCGAAUCCAGAAACCGUAGCUCAGUUCAGAACGAAGGCUGGCACUCCGCCUCGUGAAAGAAGAAUCGCUAGUAAUUGCAAGGCCACAUACUGGAGUGAAUUCGUUCCCGGGCCUUGGACACCCCGCCCGUCACACCC
rnacentral:rRNA from 1 species